CUUUCUCUGUCUGAAUCCCCCCCUUUUGUUUCUCUCAUUCUCUUCCCUCCCUUCUUGUGAUCUCUCUAUUGCACUUCUUUUCUCUUGCUGUCUAUCUGUAUCCUACUCUUAUUACUUUCUCCCUUUCAUUCUUUUCCCCCCUCAAUCUGUCUUCCUUUCUCUUUUUCUGUCUUACUCUAAAUCCACCUCUCCCUCCAACCUUUCCCCCAUCUUACCUUUCCAACUGCUGCCAAGUGACCUUGCUCCACGCUCUGUCUGCUCCACCCGGGGCCAACCUCCCUUGGUGUUCCUCUCGAAGCUACGCCAUUCUCAGAUGACAUUUUCUGUGACUGUCAACCUGGCUUAGUCUUGGACACCGAUGUCAGUGUCCCAGCUUACCUGGCUUGUUUCCAGUCCUAGCUCCAAUGUCACCAUCUGCCUCUCAAGAUUCUCUUCCAUUUACCCUGGAGAUACACUGAGUGCUCAGAGUUGCCGGCACAUUGCCUGCCACUUAGAAACUCUCAAUAAAGUUUUCUUGAAAUGAGCAGAACCAGGAGAUCAUUAUAUACUUCAACAACAACACUAUAUGAUGAUCAAGUCUGAUGGACGUGGCCCUGUUCAACAAUGAGAUGAAAAAAAUUAGCUCCAAUAGAACAGUAAUGAAUAGAACCAGCUACACCCAGGCAAAGAAUUCUGGGAGAUGACUAAGAACCACUACACAGAAUUCCCAAUCCCUCUAUUUUUGUCCGCCUGCAUUUUGGAUCUCCUUCACAGGCUAAUUGGACACUUUCAAAAUAACUGUUUGGACAUGUAUAGAUAUAUUGUAUUUAACUUAUACUUCAACAUAUUUAACAUGUAUUGGUCAUCCUGCCAUCUGGGGGAAGGAGGGGAAAAAUUGGAACAAAAGGUUUGGCAAUUGUCAAUGCUGCAAAAUUACCCAGGUAUAUAUCUUCUAAAUAAAAAGCUAUAAUAAUUUUUUUAAAAAGUUUUCUUGCCUUGACUUUGUGCGUUCGUUAUUACCAUUCAGGGCACCGUCCACCGACAAGAAAACUUCCUUCCUUAAGCACAUCUCUCAGAGACAUCCCCUUCUCUCCACUCAAACCGUCCCCACCACCUUGCAAUGAGAUGCAAGCUCUCAUUACCUCACUUCCUGGUCCGGUCCAUUUUCCACUCCCUCUCAAAGCAAUCUCUCUAAAGCUCGUAUCUGACCUUAGCAAUCCCCUACACUGUAAAUAACGGCACCUCCCUCCAAGAUCCAAUGGGCAAACCUCUCUUUAGCUCUUAAUGAUCUCCUCAAACUGUCUCCUUCAAGAGUUCCCAUUCAGGAGCUCCUUCACAAAGAACAUCCCAGCUUUCCUUGAUAAGUCCCAGCACACAGAAACAGCCUCCUUUCCCUUUGCCCUGUAUCUAUGCUGAGCAUCCAGCUGCUCCCAUGGUGUCCGCUCCAAUUACAAUCUGAGUCCUCAAAGGCAGGGCCCUCGUCUAUCCCUUCUUUCUCGCCACACUCUCAUCCCCCUGCCUAGCACUUAGAGAAGCCAGAAAUACUUGAUAAAUCCCGUUACCCUGCUCAACCUGCCAUCUGGGGGAGGGGGAAGGAGGCGGAAAAUUGGAACAAAAGGCUUUGCAACGGUCAAUGCUGACAAACUACCCAUGCAUAUAUCUUGCAGAUAAAAAGCUACAUUAAAAAAAAAAGCAAAACUUCUAUCCCAAACGUAUAUUUUAGGGAUUUUUUUAACCUCUAGUAGAACUGGAAUUUGGUCUCCAAUCCAAUAUUCCCAGGGAAAUAUGAAGUCUGAUAAGUAUACUAGUGUGCUAGGAAGACAGAAAUUGACAGAAUAUUGCAAUACAAUCUUGUACCAAAAGCUCCAUGUGAUGAAAAGUUAAGAUAUAUACCCAAGGGAUUGGAAUAAAUGUUUCAACGGUCAAAAAAAAAAGGAUAAAUACUAUUACCCAUCCUCCUCCCAAGCUCUCCAUCAUCUCCAACUCCUUGUUCAGUCUAACUGCACAGAGCACCUCUGACCACAAAUGGUCUUUCCUAGCUUCCCAAUACAUACUGGUUCUCCCUUCGCACACCACCUCUCAGACAUAUCCCAUUCUCCCUUCACUCCGCUGCCUAAUAUUCCUAAAGUUCGCACUAAUCCCACUGACCUUUCCUUCCAGCUCCCAACCCUCAGCCCCUCGGGAACUACACUGGAAAAGCUGUUGUCUCUGCAUUAUUUCCCAGAUUAAAUAUAAAAGCCCUGCUUUGGCUUUUCAUGCCCUGUCCUGCCUGUGUAGUGUACCCAUCCCUUCCAUGGAUGCUUCCAACUACAACCCUGGCGCAGAUGCUUCUCACCACGGCCUUCUCUAUGCGUCAGGGAACUCCCAGGAUGCCAGGCCAUCUUCCACUCGCCUCCCCUAAGGAUCGACCGUCUCAGUCCCCUGUUGUGUAAAUGUUCUGUGCCUCCCUAUUUCAUACACACUGAAAUAAAAAAGUCUUCUGUUUCUCUCUUAAUCUCUUCCCUUUCUAACUUUCCCGUCUUCUUAUACUUUGGCUCAACAGACCCUCUAAUCCAACACACUGGGCUCCUUGCUGCUCCUCCCAAAGGACAAGCCCUCUCUGCUUUAUCCAUUUUCUAAGGCUUUACUCUCAUGAUUGCAUAUGGGCUGUUUGCGUUCCCUUGUCCCUUUCAGCAUCCUGCACGUCCAGGUUUUAUCCCAUUGUCUGGCACAUGGUGCAGACAUCCCUAUUCUUUUUUAUUACAUUUCUUAUCAUAGCUUUUUAUUUACAAGAUAUGCAUGGGUAAUUUUUCAGCACUGACCCUUGCAAAACCUUCCAACUUUUCUCCCUCCUUCCCCUCCCCCCUCCCCUAGAUGACAAAUAGUCCCAUACAUGUUAAAUAUGGUAAAGUAUAAGACAUCCCUAUUCUUGUUGGAGGGGAUGCGGGAAAACUGGGGCUGAUGCACUGUUGGUGGAGUUGUGAACGAAUCCAACCAUUCUGGAGAGCGAUCUGGAAUUAUGCCAAAAAGUUAUCCAACUGUGAUUCAGCAGUGCUACUACUGGGCUUCUAUCCCAAAGAGAAACUAAAGAAGGGAAAGGGAGCUGUAUGUGCCAAAAUGUUUGCAGCAGCCCUCUUUGUAGUGGCCAGAAACUGGAAAAUGAAUGGAUGCCCAUCAACUGGAGAAUGGUUGGGUAAAUUGUGGUAUAUGAAGGUUAUGGAAUAUUAUUGUUCUGUAAGAAAUGACCAGCAGGAGGAUUUCAGAAAGGCCUGGAGAGACUUACAGGGACUGAUGCUGAGGGAAGUGAGCAGGGCCAGGAGAUCGUUAUAUACUUCAACAACAAUACUAGAUGAGGAUGUAUUCUGAUGGAAGGGGAUUUCUUUGACAAAGAGAAGACCUAACUCAGUUUCAAUUGAUCAAGGAUGGACAGAAGCAGCUACACCCAAAGAAAGAACACUGGGAAAUGAAUGUAAACUGUUUGCAUUUUUGUUUUUCUUCCUGGGUUAUUUCUACCUUCUGAAUCCAAUUCUUCCCGUGCAACAAGAGAACUAUUCGGUCCUGCACACAUGUAUUGUAUCUAGGACAUACUAUAACAUAUUUAACAUGUAGAGGACUGCCUGACAUCCAGGGGAGGAGGUAGAGGGAAGGAAGGGAAAAGUCGGAACAGAAGUGAGUGCAAGAGAUAAGGUUGUAAAUAAUUACCCAGGCAUGGGUUCUGGCAAUAAAAGUUAUAAUAAUAAUAAAAAGACAUCCCUAUUCUUGUAGAGUGGCCAUCAUCUUCCUAAGGAUCCAAGCUUUCCUAUUAACCUCAAAGCUGUCCGCUAGUCCCCUCACGUACUCAACUACUACCCCAAGUUGUCCUUUCUACUUUCACAGCAUCUCCUAUUUUUUCCUUCCCGACAGUCUCCUGUUGUCUAUUUUUUCUCUCCACUCCCGCAGUCACUCUCCGAUGCAGCCCAGCAUCCCCUCUGCUUUGGACUCUGGUCAAUUAGCCUUCUCCUUCUCCUUCCCUCUCAAGGCUUUCCCUGAUCUAGUCCAUUCUCUACUAAACUGCUGAAUGUCUGGAUAUUCUUCACCCCGCGCCACUUCCUACUUUUAUAGUCUUCUCCUACUUGCCCUGCACAACGCGCUAUGGAACACCAGCUUCCCUGCCCUUCCUUCCACACAGCUAGACUCAGUGUUUCAACAGAAGGCCCCCAGUUUGAAACUACAAGGCUCCCCCUUCUCAUUCCUACCUCCUGGUCCUUUGAACAUAUUCUUCCCCCUUCAAAAUGUGACCUUCGCAAGAUCAGGAACCAGCCCUGCCUUUCUUUGGAUUCCCAUUGUUUAGCACAUGGCCUGGCCCAGAGGAAGCUCUAACUAAAGGCUGAUUGGCUGGACUGGUUUCAAAAGCUUGAUGAUUUUACCUUCCCAACGUCUCUCUCCCCAAAUGCUUCAUUCACUCAUUCAUUCAUCCAUUCGUUCGUUCAUUUAUGCACACGUGCUCUUCCAUCCGUGCACAGCAGCCCCCUGGCUCGUCUUCCCUGCUGACCAGCCCACCCGGGAGCUCUUUUCCUCUAUUUGCAGGGAUUUCUCCUGGUCCCCUACAGGCUUUGUCAUUUCUCCCUAGACUUACUUGUCCCAUGUGCUCACUGGCUGUCUCCCAGACUGUACCAGAGCUACCUGCGACUUCCACUUAAUGGCUCUGUCUUCUGCAUUCAGGAGUUCACCUCAGUUUGAUUUUACUAUUUCUUCUAUGAUCACAUAUGGGUUUGUUGACUUGCCCUGUCCUUCAGAGGCAACUAGAAUUGCCAAGUUGUCUCUACAGAUGCUACAUGUUCCAGAUCAAUGUUUUACCUCUUUGGGUGAGUGCCCAGACUUCCCUCACUCUGGAACCUCGGUCCUUCUCCCUUGAGACCUGCUCACCUUGGUACAUCACUCUACCAUGCUGGCCCCUUUCAGCCACUGGUGAACUCUUUUGAGGUCCCUAUUUGGGAAAGGGGCCCAGGCUGUGUAACCUCCAUUCACCUUCUGCCUCUAUUUCUGAUUUCCCAGCCUACUAUCUCAACCUCAAACUUUCCCCCCCUUCCCCUUUGACCUUCAGUGGCGGGGGCCUCCUCAUGCUGGAACGUCCAUCGACGCUGGAUCAUCAGUCCACCAUGCUGGUCUCCUUCUGCCUUUUCUGAGAUCCUCCAAAGUUCUCCACUUCAGGGACAGUCCCGGGUCACAUAACGUUGAUUCUACUUCCAGCACCGUUUCUGAACUGGAUGUCGAGCCAAUACUUCAACUGUAGUCUCACCUCUGUACCUCUUCCAGUGGCCGGGGCCUCCUCAUGGUGGGACAUUCAUCAGCUUAGGUGGUCUUCUCACAGGCCUGUUCUACACUGGCCUCCUCCUGCCAUUUCUGAGGUCACCUCUGGGUCUCUCCUUCAGGGAAGGGCCCAAGUCACAUCACCUCGAUGCCAAUUCCAGCAGGGUUUUGAAUUUGCCUCGGAUGCAGUCUUGUCCUUGAACCUUUUCCAGUCACUGGGCCUCCUCGUGAUAGAACAUCCAUGCACUUUGCGGCCUUCUCACCCUAGCUCAUCAGGCCACCAUGGUGGCUUCCUGCUGCUGUUACCGAGGUCCUCCAAAGUUCUCCUUUUCAGGGAUGAGUCUAGAUCAUAAAAGCUUGAUUCCAAUUCCAGCAGGGUUUCUGAAUCUCCAGAUUUCGGUCCUAUGCCUCAGCUGUUGUCUCACCCUUGAACCUCUUCCAGUCACUGGGACUCUCUUGUGCUGGAGUAUCCAUCCACUUUGUGGCCUUCUCACCCUGAAACAUCCCUCCACCGUGGGGGUCUCCUAUUAUUCCUGAGGUCCUCCAAGAGUCUCCAUUCAAAGAUGGGUCCAGGUCACAUCACCUUGAUCCCAAUUCCGGCAGGGUUUCUGAAUCUCCAUAUGUCACUCCAAUGCCCCAGCUGCAGUCUCUUGAAACCCUUCCAUUGCCUGGGAAAUCCUCACCCUGGUAUGCGCCUCUAACUUGCCAGCCUCCUUCUGCCAUUUCCAAGGCCUCCCUUUCAGAGACUGGCCCAGGUGAAGUGAUCUUGCUUCUACUGCCAAGAGUGGAUCUGAAUUUCCAGGCUUCAACAAAAUUCCUCAUCUUUAGUAUCGUCCUCGAACUUCUUCCAAUAAUCGUGACCUCCUCAUGCUAGAACAUCCAUUCACUUUGGUGACUUCUUCACUCCCGAAUGUCCCUGUCCUGAAGGACUCUUCAGCCCGCAACGUCACCGCCCCAAUGGGCUCCUCAGCCCACAAUGUCCUUGCCCCGAUGGACUCCUCAGCCCGCAAAGUCACAGCCCUGAUGGGCUCCUCUGCUCCAAUGGGCUUCUCACCUGGAAUGACCCUGCCCCGAUGGGCUCCUGAGCCAGUAGCGUUGCUGCCCCAAUGGGCUCCUGAGUUCACAACGUCCCUGCCCUGAUGGACUCUUCAGCCCACGUCGCUGCCCCAAUGGGCUCCUCAGCCUUCAACGUUGCUGCCCCGAUGGGCUCCCCUGCCCUGAUGGACUCUUCAGCCCACAAUGUCACUGCCCCGACGGACUCCUCAGCCCACAACAUCACAGCCCUGAUGGGCUCCUCUGCUCCAAUAGGCUUCUCACCUGGAAUGUCCCUGCCCCGAUGGGCUCCUGAGCCUGUAGCGUCGCUGCCACAACAUCCCUGCCCUGAUGGGCUCCUCAGCCCACAACGUCGCUGCCCCAAUGGGCUCCUCAGCCCGCAAUGUUGCUGCCUCGAUGGGCUCCCUGGCCCCAAUGGGCUCCUCAGCCUGCAACAUCGCCGCCCUGAUGGGCUCCUCAGCCCACAACAUCGCUGCCUCAAUGGGAUCCCCAGCCCCGAUGGGCUCCCCGGCCCCCAUUGGCUCCUCAGCCUGCAACAUCGCCACCCCAAUGGGCUCCCUGGCCCCGAUAGGCUCCUCAGCCCACAACAUCACUGCCCCGAUGGGCUCCUCAGCCCACAACGUCGCUGCCCCAAUGGGCUCCUGAGCCCAUAAUGUCGCUGCCCCGAUGGGCUCCUCAGCCUGCAAUGUUGCUGCCCUGAUGGGCUCCCUGGCACCGAUGGGCUCCCCAGCACCGAUGGGCUCCUCAGCCCGCAAUGUUGCUCCCGCAAUGGACUCCUCAGCCCACAAUGUCGCUGCCCCAGUGGGCUCCUCAGCCUGCAAUGUCCCUGCCCCGAUGGGCUCCUCAGCCUGCAAUGUCCCUGCCCCGAUGGGCUCCUCAGCCUGCAAUGUCCCUGCCCUGAUGGGCUCCCUGGCACCGAUGGGCUCCCCGGCACUGAUGGGCUCCUCAGCCCGCAAUGUUGCUCCCGCAAUGGACUCCUCAGCCCACAAUGUCGCUGCCCCGAUGGGCUCCUCAGCCUGCAAUGUCCCUGCCCCGAUGGGCUCCCCGGCCCCAAUGGGCUCCCCGGCCCCAAUGGGCUCCUCAGCCUGCAAUGUUGCUGCCCCGAUGGGCUCCCCGGCCCCAAUGGGCUCCUCAGCCUGCAACAAUGCUGCCCUGAUGGGCUCCCCAGCCCCAAUGGACUCCUCAGCCCACAAUGUUGCUGCCCCAAUGGACUCCUCAGCCUGCAACAAUGCUGCCCUGAUGGGCUCCCCAGCCCCAAUGGACUCUUCAGCCCGCAGUGUUGCUGCCCUGAUGGGCUCCUCAGCCUGCAAUGUCCCUGCCCCGAUGGGCUCCCCGGCCCCGAUGGGCUCCUCAGCCUGCAAUGUCCCUGCCCCGAUGGGCUCCCCGGCCCCGAUGGGCUCCCCGGCCCCAAUGGGCUCCUCAGCCUGCAAUGUUGCUGCCCCGAUGGGUUCCCCGGCCCCGAUGGACUCCUCAGCCUGCAACAAUGCUGCCCUGAUGGGCUCCCCAGCCCCAAUGGACUCCUCAGCCCACAAUGUUGCUGCCCCAAUGGACUCCUCAGCCUGCAACAAUGCUGCCCUGAUGGGCUCCCCAGCCCCAAUGGACUCUUCAGCCCGCAAUGUUGCUGCCCUGAUGGGCUCCUCAGCCUGCAAUGUCCCUGCCCCAAUGGGCUUCUUCUGCCAUUCAUGAGGUCUUCUGGGGAAUCUUCAUUUUCAAGGAUGGGCCCAGAUAAGCACCGAGUUCUGUCUCUCUUGUAACUACUCAGUCUAACUUUACAAAUCCAUCCAUUACCAAAUUUUUUCUUCUUUCUCUUCCCAAUUUGCAUAAAUUUACAUUACACGAGUUCUCCUUCAGAGAGUUCUGAAGAAAUUCCAGUUCCAAGGAAAGGCCUCUGUUUACCUGCCUUGCUCUCCCUUUCCACUCCUACUCCUCACUUCAGGUGCUCUGUGGCCAACCACAAAACCAUCUAAAAAGCCCAUCCAAUGGCAAGGAGAAGAACCAAUGCAUCUGGCACCAGUGCUGCUGGCUGGGGGAUUGGUUUGAGAACUGUAGCACCUAGAGCAGAUUUUGUCCCACGCCGCUCAAGCGCCGGGAGUCCAGCCCUGAGUCUAUGCCAUUUGGCAGAGUUGGGGUGCCUCACGGUCCGUCCCUAUCUGUGUCGGCCACCCACAUUCAUCUUCUCAGGGCAGAAAGGUCUGCCCACGGCUAGCCCAAGCCCCAGCCUAUUCCUCCUCCCGCUCUCUGUUUCCUGUCCCGAGCCCACAAGUGUCCUCAAAUUGUGUGCUAUCCCCUCCCUCAAUGCUUGGGCAGCCGCCUUCCUCUCCGGUUCUCUUCCUCCCUCCCUUCUCCACAUCCACGGCGCGUCACAUAAGCAAGCCGCAGAAGCUUCCACUUACCUGAAGCAAGAACUCUAUGUACGGCGCUUCUUUCAUGACAAAACUCUCAGACACAAUUCAAUCUCUCUCCUCACAUGGAUGCCCCCAGGAAGCAAGAGCCUCCUGCUUGUUCUCCCUACCUCAGAUCACAACCGAUCCUUUUCCCAUCACCUACCAAAGAGAUCUGUCUGAGUUAUUCUAUAAAUAAAAGUGAAUCUGUUAGCCAAAAUCUCAAAUACAAAAGAGUAUAUUAAUGUUCUCUCCAGCCUGGGCCUUCCAACAUCCUUAGACUUUCCGCUACUCUAUGGUCUCUUGGAUCCAGCACGGAUAGCCUCCCUCGGUCUUCCUAUCAAAGGUCAUUCCAUGGCCACAUUAUCCACGAAUUUCCCCAUCCCUGACACAUGGACUGCUCUCUAUCUGGGUCACUGUCCCAGCAUUCCUAGAGCUUGCUGAAAGUCUCCAUGAAAAUAUCACCUGCUGGUAACAGCCUUUCCCUGUCUUCCUCAGAGUAACGCUGUUCCUUCUCAGAUUAUUCCAUUUAUCCUCUACAUAUGUUGACUAUCCAUAGCUGCUUGCGUAUUGUCACGUUUCAAACGCAACGUGAUCUCCUAAAGAGUAAGGACUCUCUCUUGGCCCUUCUUUAUUUCCAUGCUACUUAGCACAUUUCCUUUCACCUGACAAGUACAUUGGGCAGCUAGAGUGCCAGAUCUGAAAUCAAGAAGACUCCUCUUCAUGAGUUCAAAUCUGACCUCAGACACGUCCUAGCUGUGUGACCCUGGGCAAAUCACUUAACCUUAUUUCCCUCAGUUUCCUCAUCUGUAAAAUGAGCUGAAGAAUGAAGUAGCAAACCACUGUACCAUCUUUGCCAAGGAAACCUUAAUGAAGUCAGAAAGAGCCGGACGCAACAAAGUAUUCAACAACAACAAACAAGUACUUUAGGACAGCCAGAAGACGCAGCAGAGAGAUCACCGGAACUAGAGUCAGGAAAACUACUCUUAGCGACUUAAAAUCUGGAAUCAAUCUCAGUUUCUUCAUCUAUAAAAUGAGCUGAAGAAUGAAAGAGCAAACCACUAAGAAAACUUUAAUGAAGUCAGAAAGAACUGAACGCAACUGAAAUCAUUCAACAACAACAAACAAGUACUUUAGGAAAGCCAGAUGAUGCAGCAGAGAGAUCGCCGGAACUAGAGUCAGGAAAAAUAUUCUUCGCAUCUUAAAAUCUGACCUCAGACACUUCCUAGCUGUGUGACCCUGGGCAAGUCACUUAACCCUAUUUGCCUCAGUUUCCUCAUCUGUACAGCAGAAGAAUGAAGUAGCAAACCACUCUAGCAUCUCUGCCAAGAAAACUUUAAUGUUAAGUCAGAAAGAGCUGGACGCAACUCAAACUACUCAACAACAAAAAAUAAGUACUUUAAGAAAGCUAGAUGAUGCAGUGCACAGAGUGCCAGAUCUGGAAUCAAGAAGACUCCUCUUCAUGAGUUCAAAUCUGACCUCAGACACGUCCUAGCUGUAUGACCCUGGACAAAUCACUUAACCCUAUUUCCCUCAGUUUCCUCAUCUGUAAAAUGAGACGAAGAAUGAAAUAGCAAACUACUCUAGCAUCUUUGCCAAGAAAACCUUGAUGAAGACAGAGUGGGAUGCAACUGAAACUACUCAAGAACAACAAACAAGUACUUUAGGAAAGUAGAUGAUGCAGUGGAUAGAGCGCCAGAUCUGGAAUCAAGAAGACUCCUCUUCAUGACUUCAAAACUGACCUCAGAUACUUCCUAGCUGUGUGACCCUGGGCAAGUUACUUAAUCCUAUUUGCUUCAGUUUCCUCACCUGUAAAAUGAGCUAAAGAAUGAAAUAUGAAGUCAGAAAGAGCUGGACGCAACUCAAACUACUCAAAAACAAAAAUACAAGUACUUUAGGAAAGCUAGAUGAUGCAGUGCACAGAGUGCCAGAUGUGGAAUCAAGAAGACUCCUCUUCAUGAGUUCAAAUCUGACCUCAGACACUUCCGAGCUGUAUGACCCUGGGCAAGUCACUUAGUCCUAUUUGCCUCAGUUUCCUCAUCUAUAAAAUGAGCUGAAGAAUGAAAAAGCAACCUACUCUACCAAAAGAGCCGGACGCAACUGAAAGUACUCAACAAUAACACAAAAGUACUUUAGGAUAGCCAGAAGACGCAGCAGAGAGAUCGCCGGAACUAGUCAGGAAAAGUACUCUUCAUGACUUAAAAUCUACAAUCAAUCUCAGUUUCCUCAUCUGUAAAAUGAGCUAAAAAAUUAACCAGCAAACCACUAAGAAAACUUUAAUGAAGUCAGAAAGAGGUGGACACGACAAACUAUUCAAUAACAACAAACAAGUACUUUAGGAAAGCCAGAUGACGCAGCAGAGAGAGAUUGCCAGAACUAGAGUCAGGAAAAAAUACUCUUCGCAUCUUAAAAUCUGACCUCAGACACUUCCUAGCUGUGUGACCCUGGGCAAGUCAUUUAACCCUAUUUGCCUCAGUUUCCUCAUCUGUACAGCAGAAGAAUGAAGUAGCAAACCACUCUAGCAUCUUUGCCAAGAAAACCUUAAUGUUAAGUCAGAAAGAGCUGAAUGCAACUGAAACUACUCAACAACAGAAAAUAAGUACUUUGGGAAAGCUAGAUGAUGCAGUGCACAGAGUGUCAGAUCUGGAAUCAAGAAGACUCCUCUUCAUGAGUUCAAAUCUGACCUCAGACACUUCCUAGCUGUAUGACCCUGGACAAAUCACUUAACCCUAUUUCCCUCAGCUUCCUCAUCUGUAAAAUGAACUAAAGAAUGAAAUAGCAAACUACUCUAGCAUCUUUGCCAAGAAAACCUUAAUGAAGUCUGAAAGAGCUGGACGCAACUGAAACUACUCAACAACAACAAAAAAGUACUUUAGGAAAGCCAAAUGACGCAGCAGAGAGAUCAUCGGAACUAGAGUCAGGAAAACUAUUCUUCUCGACUUAAAAUCUGGAAUCAAUCUCAGUUUCCUCUUUUGUAAAAUGAGCUGAAGAAUGAAACAGCAAACCACUAAGAAAACCUUAAUGAAGUCAGAAAAAGCUGGACACAACUGAAACUAUUCAACAACAACAAACAAGUACUUGAGGACAGCCAGAAGACGCAGCAGAGAUCGCCGGAACUAGUCAGGAAAACUACUCUUCGCAACUUAAAAUCUGGAAUCAAUCUCAGUUUGUUAAUCUGUAAAACGAGCUGAAGAAUGAAACAGCAAACCACUAAGAAAACUAAUGAAAGAGCUGGACGCAACAAACUAUUCAACAACAACCAACAAGUACUUGAGGACAGCCAAAUGACGCAGCAGAGAUCGCCGGAACUAGUCAGGAAAACUACUCUUCGCAACUUAAAAUCUGACGUCAGACACUUCCCAGCUGUGUGACCAUGGGCAAACCGAUCAACCCUCUUUGCCUCAAUUGCUCCAUCCAUAAAAUGAUCUGAAGAAGGAACUGGGCAACUCACUCCUGGAUCAUUGCUAAGAAAACUCCAAAUGGGGUCACUGAGAAUCAGACAUGUUGGAAAAACGAAUGGACCUCAUCAAAAUAAGUACUUAUUGAAUCAAUAGUUGUUGUUUUAAUUGUUGAUUUCCCUGUUAUUCUCUGAGGCAACUUGGUCAACCAUGAGAUCAGUGUUCAUAUCAUUUGAAGAUAAAAUAUCUAGCUACCUCCUAUAGCAUCUACUGUCACAUUUUAUCCUUUCUGCCUUCCAAUACAUCCUAUUUCUUCCUUGAGACUCUCUCGCACUCACAUCCACUUCUUUUCACUCACACAGACACCAGCCAGGUACAAGCCCCCCCCCCCUCUAUUCCAGACAGCAGCAGAGGCCUUCUGCUUUUAUUAUUCCAACUCAAAAUCUCUCCCCACUCCAAUCCUUUACCUACUAAGUUCUUAUUAAUAAAUAUUCCUUGACUCAUCCUGUUGAUUGCCCUACUCUUCCCUGGGGCCCCUUCAUCCUUCCAGAUAACCCAAGAGACAAGUCCAGACUAGCUGCACAUCUUUGCUCAGUUUAACUCUCUAAUAUAGCACUGACUGCUACAUUUUAUCCUAUCUUCCUAAUUUAUCUCAUUUCUUCCUUGACCACAUCCCUCGGACCCAUUCACUUCUCUCUAUUCACUGAGACAUUAUAUCCCUGCAUAAUUCACCAUCUCAUCCCUAGACAAGAACUACAAUGUUUUAAUGAUUUUCCCUCCCUCAAAUAACUCCUCAUUCCAGUCCAUUUUCCAUCAUUUGACAAAGGCUUCUUCCUGAAGCUCACGUCUGACAACUUACCCUAAACUCACCCAUGGCUCCCUAGUACCUACAAAAUACAAAAACUUCCUUUUGACUAUUAACGAUCUCUCCAAUCUUACCUUCCCAAUAUUAGUUAUUAUACUAUGCUUUCUGUGCUCCAACAAGGAUAGCCUUCCUUAGUGUUCUUCCUAAUGGACAAUCUAUCUCCAGAUUUUCCACUUUCCAUGACUUUCCCUAUAACCUCGUCUUGGCCUGCUCUGUCUGGCCCAGUCCCAGCUUUCUUCCCUUGCUUCAAAUCUCAGAUAAAACAUCACAAUCUAGAAGCAGCUUUACCCUAUCCUCAAGACCAAUGUCUUUCCCUUUUAGAUUACCUUCCACUUACUCUAUAUAUGUGAUAACAGAGUCUGGUUGCUUAGUGUUCCCCUCCAAAUACUUUGUGGGACAUCAAGUGUUGGGACUCUUUUGGCCCUUCUUUAUUCCACACUACUUAGUACAUUUCAUCUCAUCUAAUAAGUAUUUAUUGAAAAAUUGAUUUGACUUGUUUUCCUGUUAUUCUGAGAGACAACAUCACCUUCCUAGUCAUCAUCAGGACAGAUUACCUAUCACUGGAGAGCUUUAUUCGAUCUGACUUUACAUAUAGCAUCUGUUGCCACAAUUUAUCCUUUCUAUUUUCCCAAUGGAUCUUAUUUCUUCCUUAAUCAUCUCUCUCAGAUACCUCCCCUUCUCUUCCCAAGAUCAGGAACCAGCCCUGCCUUUCUUUGUAUUCCCAUUGCUUAGCACACGGCCUGGCCCAGAGGAAGCUCUAACUAAAGACUGGUUGGCUGGACUGGUUUCUUUCCCCAAGGCUCCAAAAGCUUGAUUUUACCUUCCCACCAUCUCUCUCCCCAAAUGCUUCAUUCACUCAUUCAUCCAUUCGUUCGUUCAUUUACGCACACGUGCUCUUCCAUCCGUGCACGGCAGCCCCCGGCUCGUCUUCCCUGCUGACCAGCCCACCCGGGAGCUCUUUUCCUCUAUUUGCAGGGAUUUCUCCUGGUCCCCUGCAGGCUUUGUCAUUUCUCCCUAGACUUGUCCCAUAUGCUCACUGGCUGUCUCCCAGACUGUACCAGAGCUACCUGCGACUUCCACUUAAUGGCUCUGUCUUCUGCAUUCAGGAGUUCACCUCAGUUUGAUUUUACUAUUUCUUCUAUGAUCACAUAUGGGUUUGUUGACUUGCCCUGUCCUUCAGAGGCAACUAGAAUUGCCAAGUUGUCUCUACAGAUGCUACAUAUUCCAGAUCAAUGUUUUACCUCUUUGGGUGAGCCUGGACUUCCCUCACUCUGGAACAUCAGUCCUUCUCCCUUGAGACCUGCUAACCUUGGUACAUCACUCUACCAUGCUGGCCCCUUUCAGCCAUUGGUGAACUCUUUUGAGGUCCCUAUUUGGGAAAGGGGCCCGGGCUGUGUAACCUCUAUUCACCUUCUGCCUCUAUUUCUGACUUCCCAGCUUACUAUCUCACCCUCAAACUUUCCCCUUCCCCUUUGACCUUCAAUGGCGGGGGCCUCCUCAUGCUGGAACGUCCAUCGACGCUGGAUCAUCAGUCCACCAUGCUGGUCUCCUUCUGCCUUUUCUGAGAUCCUCCAAAAUUCUCCACUUCAGGGACGGUCCCGGGUCACAUAACGUUGAUUCUACUUCCAGCACCGUUUCUGAACUGGAUGUCGGUCUAAUACCUCAGCUGUAGUCUCAGCCAUGAACCUUUUUCAGUGCAUAAGGAUUCUCCAUGCUGGAACAUCCACCCUCUCUGGUAGCCUUCUCAUCCUGGAACAUCAUUCCAUCAUGCUAGCCGCCUUCUGCCACUUCUGUGAUUCUCCAGGUCUCCAUUUCAAGCAUGGGCCCAGCUCCCAUCACCUUGAUUCCAAUUCCUGCACUGUUCCUGAAUUUCCAGACAUCGAUCCAAUGCCUCAGCCACAGUCUCACCCUUGAUCCUCUUCCAACUGUCGGGAUCCCCUCAUGUUGGUUCAUCCAUCCAAUAUGUGGUGUUCUCACCCUGGAACGUCACUCCAUUGUGCUGUCCUCCUGCUUCAAAGUUCUCCAUUUUAGGAUGGGCUAGCUUCCAUCACCUUGAUUCCAAUUCUGGCAGGUUUCUGAAUUUCCAGAUAUCAAUCCAAUGCCUCCACUUUAGUCUCAUCCAAGAACCUUUUUCAGUAUAUCAGGAUUCUACACACUGGAACAUCCGUCAACUUCAGUGGCCUUCUCUCACUGUGGAACAUCACUCUACCGUGCUAGCCUCUUUCUGCCACUUCUAUGGUCCUCCAGAGGUCUCUAUUUAAAGUAUGGGCCCAGUUCCCAUCACCUUGAUUCCAAUUCCAGCAGGGUUUCUGAAUUUCCAGACGUCGAUCCAAUGCCUCAGCUGUAGUCCCACCCUUGAUCCUCUUCCAAUUGUUGGGAUCUCCUCAUGCUGGAUCAUCCAUCCACCAGGCUGACCUUCUUUUGCCAUUUCUGAGGUCCUCCAGAGGUCUCCAUUUGAAGCACGUGCCAAGUCCUAUUACCUUGAUUCCGAUUUCCAGAUGUCAGUCCAACGCCUCAGCUGUAGUCUCACCCAUGAACCAUUUUCAGUAUGUCAGGAUUCUACAUGUUGGAACAUCCCUCCACUUCAGUGGCCUUCUCACUUUGGAACAUUACUUCAUCAUGCUAGCCUUCUUCUGCCACUUCUGUGAUCCUCCAGGUCUCCAUUUCAAGCAUGGGCCCAGCUCCCAUCAUCUUGAUUCCAAUUCCAGCACUGAUCCUCAAUUUCUAGACGUCAACCCAAUACUUUAGCUCUGUGUCCUCUCAACCUUGAUCCUCUUCCAGUUGUUGGGAUCUCCUCAUGCUGGAUCAUCCAUCCAGCAGGCUGGCCUCCUUUUGUGAUUUCUGAGGUCCUCCGGGGGUCUCCAUUUCAAGCAUGGGCCAGAUCCCAUCACCUCGAUACUGAACUUCCAGAUGUGAAUUCAUUGCCUCAGCUUCCUUCUGACACUCUUGAGAUCUUCCAGGGAUUUCCAUGUUAGGCAUAGAUCCAGAUCUCAUUAUGGAAUAUAAUUACUACACUGUAAUCUUUUUAUCUUCCCAAUAAAAGUUCUCACUUUAGAUAAAUUUGCAUUAUACAAAUAAAAACAUAAAUUUGCAUUAUACAAAUUACCUAAAGAAUUCUGAAGAAAUCUGCACUCCAAAAAACUGGCCUUGUUAACUCUCCUGGACAACACUAUACUCAAGUAAACACUGUGAGAGAUCCUGAGGUCAACCACGUCAUCCCAGGCCAUCAUUGGCCAGGUGGAACACCCUGAACUUCAAUGACUCUGGAAGAAAGAAUGAGGCUGAUAACUAUGCAAUUCUGGGACAUUUAAAUCCAAUUCACAACCAAGGAAAGACCUCACCCUGGGGUGUUAUUGGUCCUCUUCCAAAAGGAAGGUCCAACAACAGUACUGGGCUCUUUCUCUGCUCCCACCCCUUGUCUCGGAACGCAAUAGCCUCCUAAUGUCAACAAGAACCAAAGAAAAAUUAUCUCCAAAUAAGAGCAAAAGAACGAAUGCAAAAAGAGACCACAACCUCCACUUUGCUUGAGACAUCCACUGAGAAAGGACAAUUUUGCCAGCCACCCACAGAUACCUGCACAACUGGUCCCUCUUCUCAGGGACUGCACAUCUGUCCCCCAAUUCCCAAGUGUCAUCGGCGCCACCCACUUCUGUCCAUACCACGUCUGACCCCCCUGUGUUUCUGCCGUGCCAUGUUCUUCCUCCCCAUUUUGGCCGAGCCUCCACACAUCCUGCCUCCCUCCUCCCUUCCCCACAUCACCAGACAAAUUCACAGAGACUCUAUGCUAGUACGAGCCCUCGUUAUCUCUCAUCUGGACAAUGCCAACAGCCUUCUGCUUGUUUUUCCUGCCUCAAAUCACUCUCCACUAAAUCUUUUCUCCAUUCUCCCACCAAAGGAAUAUUCCUAAUGUCACAUCUGACCACAUUGCUCUAUAAAUGCAAAUGGCUCCCUAAUUAAUCUCUCUUUUCCAAUAUAAAACAUCCAUUGUCUAUAAUGUUCUCUCCAACUUCUCCUCUACUUUAUAUUUGCAACACUCUUAGACCUUCAUUACUUCCUGUUUUCUCUGAUCCCCCAACAUUAGCCUUGCUCCCAAAGGACAUCCCAUCGGCGUACUCUACAUCUUCCAUGGCCUUCUCAUCACCUUGCCUUGGACUGUUCUUUUAUGAGUCACCUUUCUGGCUUUCCUGCCUCUCACCAAGUCUCAGUUAAAAUAUCACCUUCUGAAAGCAGCCUGAUCCCUUUCUUCGCUCCGACCCCUUUAAACAACCAAGUGUCUAGAGUUGUUAAAUGGCAACCUCCAAUUACAAUACGAGCAGCUCAAAGCGGGGAUUGUAUUGGCCCCUUUUCUCCUAGAACACUGCCUGAGGCCUAAAAAAUAUUUCCUAACUAAACAUUGGUUGAUUUGACUUAUUGAUUUCACUGACACAACAUCAUCCUCCCAAUGAAUCUAGAUGACAACUUCCCUAACUUUUGCAACUGUUCACUCAAUCUAGGGCAGCUAGGUGAUGCAGUGGACAGAGUACCUAGUCUUCUAAGUUCAAAUACAGCCUCACACCCUUACUAGCUAUAUGACCAUAGGCAACUCAUUUAACCACGUGCCUCAGUUUCUUCAUCUGUAAAACGAGAUGGAGGAAGAAAUGCCAAAUCCCACAAGCAUUUUUACCGAGAAAACCCCAAAAGAGGUCAGAUAGAUGAGACAGAAAUGACAAAACAACAAAAUGUUGUAUAUUCAUCUUGAGCAAGUUGAUGGCGCAGUGGAUUGAGUGCCAGAUCUGGAAUCAAGAAGACUACUCUUCAUGAGUUCAAAUCUGGCCUCAGUCACUUCCUAGCUGUGUGACCCUGGGCAAGUCACUUAGCCCUAUUUGCCUCAGUUUCUUCAUCUACAAAACAAGAUGGAGGAAGAAAUGCCAAAUCUGACAAGCGUCUUUGUUCCCCCCCCCAAAAAAAACCCCAAAAGGGGUUAGAUAGAUGAUAUAGAAAUGAAGGAACAACAAAAUGUUGCAUAUUCAUUUUGGACAAGUUGAUGGCACAGUGGAUUGAGUGCCAGAUCUGGAAUCAAGAAGACUACUCUUCAUGAGUUCAAAUCUGGCCUCAAUCACUUCCUACUUGUGUGACCCUAGGCAAAUCACUUAACCAUGUAUGCCUCAGUUUCCUCAUCUGAAAAACAAGAUGGAGGAAGAAAUGCCAAACCCCUCGGGCAUCUUUGCCAAGAAAACCCAAAAGGAGCCAGGAAUAACCGGACGCAAGUGAAACGACGGAACCACAAUAACAAUAAAGUGUUCUAGAUGCUUUCAGAGCAGAUUGGUGGUGCAGCAGAUAGAGCGAUGGGCUCGGAAUUAGGAAGACAACUGUGUAUGAGUUCAGAUGCAGUCAUGGUCACUUCCUAGCUAUGUGAUCCAGGGCAAGUCACUUCAUCCAAUUUACCUCAGUUUCCUCAUCUGUAAAAUGAGCUAGAGAAGGAAAUGGCCAACCACUCCAGGAUUCUUGCCAAGAAAAUGUCAAAUGGGCUCACAAAAAGUCAGAUGACCAAAAUGACGACACAACAACAAUUUGGUCUAAGUGUACACAUUUUGUUGCAUUUUAUCCUUUCUAUCUCCCCAAAAUAUUCUCAUUCUUUCUUGAACGCAUCUCCCAGACUCAUCUACUUUCUCUUCAUUCACAUAGACACCACCCAGAUCCAAGCCCUCACUACCUCUCUUUUGGAAAAAUAGCACUAGCCUUCUACUUCUCCCUACCUCCAAUCACUUCCCACUCUUAUUCUUUUUUUCCCAUUCAUCUGGCAAAGCAAUCUAGCUACCUAACUCUCAGGAAGGACCGUGUUACUCUACAAAUACAAGCACCACGCUACUACUUAUAAAAUUCGAUGCAAAAUGCUCUUACAAUGAAUGCUCUCUGGUCCCUUUCCUCAUCUUACCAUCCCAAUAUUCCUAACCCUUACACUGCUUCAUGGUCUCUCUAAGAAAUCUAGCCUCCCUUAGUGUUCCACUAUCCUAUCAGAUACUAUCUUUCCCAUGGAUUUUCUGUCAGCUAGUCUUUCUUGAUCACUUUCCUGGAUUUCUAGGCUUAAUUCAACUCUCAGCUAAAACAUCACCUUCAAGAAGCAGCUCCCCCACUGUAUCCCCUCCAAUUCUAAAGCCAUUUCCUCUCAUCUUAUUAUGGUAUAUGGAAUGUCCACAGUUGUUCGCAUCUCGUUUCCUCCUAUUACAAUAUUAGUUCCUCAAGGUUCAGAUUCUUUUGGCCAUUUUUUGUUUCCAUACUAAAUAGCGCACUGCCCGGGACCUAGAAUUUCUUGAUUGCGUUGUUAGUAUCUGAGGCAUCUUUUUUCCUCCUGAUAAACUUAGGAGCUAACUUCUAGAACAUUUGCAACUGUUUUCUCAGUCUAUUCACAUAGCAAGAAUAAAAUGUGGCAAGAUACCAUUUUUCCCAGUUGGAUCUCAUUUCUUCCUUAAGCACAUCUCUCAGAGACAUCCCCUUCUCUCCACUCAAGCAGACCCCAGCCAGAUACAAGCCCUCAUUACCUCACUUCCUGAACAGCAGCAAAGGCCUUCUGCUUCUUUGCUCUCCCUCACCUCACGUCCUGGCCCAGUCCAUUUUCCAUUCCCUACCAAAGCAAUCUGUCUAAAGCUUGUAUCUGACCUCAGUAGUCCCCUAUGCUGUAAAUAACGGCACCUCCCUGCAAGAUCCAAUAGACAAACCUCUUUAACUAUGAAUGUCACCACGGCUUUUCUGUCUUUUUUUCAGUCUGCUGACAACUUACACUGACUUACGGAGUCUUUGGACAAACCACAUUGCCCUGCUUGCUUCUCUUCCCAACAGUCGCUGCUUCUCCACUUGGUACAUAUGUCUUUGGUCCUGAUCUAAUCCUGGUCUGGUCUCUCUCUCCCAUGUCUGUGUCCUGACUUGCGACAAACCACAACUAAGACCAACAUCUGGAAACAGCUUCCUUUUACUCCCCUAUCCUGGUGCCUUUCCCUCUCACAUAACUUGUCAUCUAUCCUGGAGAUGUGCUGUCUGAAGGGCUUGCUUGGUGUCUACCUCUAAUGACAAAGUAAGUUCUUCUCAUCUUCCCUUCUGUUAUUAUCUCCCUUAUUUGUUUAUAGGUUUGUGCUCAGAGUAAAUUUUCUUCCUCCUGAGAUCUUUACUAACUUCAGGCUCUUUCCCCUCUUCUAUAGUCUCUGAUGCAGUUUCCCAAGGUGCUGGACUUUAGAGCCAUCUCAGCCUUCCCCUACCCUGGGAAAUUAAAUCUUCAGCCUCAGUUUCCUGCAUCACCUGGAAGCCAAUCUCCUUAACUUCAGGCCUGGUACAGCCCUACACAUGUGCUAGUGUUCAUUUCUGACUUUCCCCAAGUUACCUAGCUAAGCCCUGCAAAAGGAGCUGGCACUAUUAAGCUACCAAGCCUAAGGAGAACAAACUUCUCACUUUCCUCCAAGACACAAAAUAGAACUAGGGGUACGGCUGGCCCUGCCAAAGCUUGGUGAAGGAGAAGGGACUAAAUGGAUAAGGUGGAGAUUAAGAAGUAUUAUUAUUCUUGACUUUGCCAUUCUCAGCAAUACAAUGAUCCAUGACUACUCUGAAGGAUUUAUGAUGAAAAAUCCUAUUCAUACCCAGAAAGGGAUCGGAUUGUGUCUGAAUACAGAUUGAAGAAUUCUCUCUUUUGUUUAAACUUCAUUUUUCUUGAGGGCUUUUAUUUUCAUUAGAUUUUUUUAUUAAUCUAAUUAAUCUAAAAUUAAAUAUUCAUGAAUUCAUUAUAUUUCAUUAGAAUUUUUCUAGUGAAAAAUUUUUCUUUCACAACAUGACUUCUACAGAAAUGUUUUACCUAACUUCAUAUAUGGUUUCUUUACUGUAGAUAGGGGCAAGGGAGAGAAAGAACCUAGAACUCAGAAAUUUUAAAACAAAUGUAAAAAAAAUUGUUUUAAAUGUAAUUGGGGAAAAAUAUUAAGGAAACAAAAUACAGAAUUAGCAUCCUCCUCUGCUAGCUCAUUAUGCUUGCUGAAUCUUCAAGGUUGUUGCUGUCUUAGAUUAAGGAGAUGGCUGAAAUUGCUCAAUUGAUCAGGUAUAAUUUCUCUUUAGAGAUUUGGAAAGUCAUGAGACACAGAGUUAGAAUAAUAUAUUCUGAAAUAAGUGUUCCCAGUUCCUCUGAAGCCUAGUACCUUCCUUCUGAGAUUACAACUCCCAUUUGCCCAGCAUACAUGUUAUAUGUACACAGGUGUUCACAUGCUAUUGUCCCCAAUAAUUCUAUAUGAACACAACUAGAAGACAGGGACAGUUUUUGCUUUUCUUUGUAUUCCCAGCCCUUAGCACAUUAACUGGCAUACAGUAGGCUCUAAAGAAAAUGCUUCUUGAACCUUUAAAGACUUGAUAACUCUGAUAAACACAAUAACCAGCUACACUUACAGAGGACUCAUGAUGAUACUCCCUCCUGCCUGCCUACCAGGAGACCUUUGAUGGACUUGGAGUACAGGUAGAGAAAAAACAUUGUGGGCAUGCCCAAUACAGGAAAUGGGUUUUGUGUGAUUAUUUGAAACAGAAGUUUUGUUUUUCUUGCUCUCCCAAGGGGAGGGCAGAAAGGGAAAGAAGAAAAGGCAGAUUUUUGUUGGAAAAUAAAAUAAAAUUUAAUUUCAGGAAAAGUAUGUUGAUUUGACUUAUCAAAUCCCUCAAUUCUCAUACCACAAGUCUAAUCUGUUGUCAGUUCUCAUUUCUACCUUCACAACCUCUCUCAUUCAUAUGUGUGCAUAUAUGAAUAGACCUAUACAUUUGAACACAUAUAUAUGUAAAUAUGCACAUAUAUCUCCACUCACAUAGCCACCACACUGGUGAAAUUCUGCAUCAUCUCUCCCUUGCACUAUUUUAAUUGUCUUCUACUCAGACUCUACUUUAAGCACUUAUUAAACAGAAAAACAAUAAUUUGUGAGUAUUCCAAUGGGCCCCCUGUACUUCUAGACAAAUCUAACAAGAGUUAAGGAUAUGAACAUCAUAUUCAAACAUUUAGAUAUGAUGGGCAUUUAAUGAUUACUGAAUAGAAUCACGAGAAGUACACAUAUUUUGGUCCUUUCCCUGGCACCUUACCCAAAAAAAUCCCCAUAUGCUAAACAGCAGGGAGCCCAGAAAUAAGGCAGAAAAGCAGUAGCAUUAAAGACUUCUUUUACAGAUCACAAUGUAAACAAUUACAAUCAAUAAAGGAAAUUUCAAUAAAAGAAUUUACAGUUAAAUUGAGACUAAAUAAUGGCAUUCUAAAGAAGGUUCGAAUAUAAGAAUAAAUCACAGACAUAGUAUAUACGUAACCUUAUCAACAAAAGGAAAACCCUGUCAUAACACACUCAAACUUCUAAGGGGCAGUCAAAGCCAUUCUUUCCAUCUCUCAGAAUAUUCAUCAACAAGAGAGAGAAAGAGGGGAAUAAUUCAUUGAGCACAUGACCAUAAAACAAAAACAUCAAGUUAUAAACACAAAUUUCUAAAUUCAUCCUGAAAAAUCAAAGCAAAAAAACCUCAUUUUGCAAGAUUACUUAUAUAUACAAACCAUUAUUAGGUAAUUGGGUCAAAAAAGAGGAAAAACAAAUUAUCAAUAUAGAAAAUCAAAAAACAUUCACAGUAGAUAAAAAAAAGACUGUCAGAAACUAUUAUACUCAAUUAAUAAAUGCCAACAAAACUGAAUGGAUAAUUCAAAAAAAUGUAAAGCCCCUACAUUACGAGAAUAAGAACUAGCAAAUUUAACUUAACCACAGAAAAUAGUAUAUAAACUAUAAACAAUCAAUCCAAGAUGGCCUCAUAAUUUAAUCAUAUCAAACAUUCAAAAUAACAGUCAACUCCCUUAUUAAAUGAUUUUUGUAAAAAUCAAGAUAUAAGGCUCUUUGCCAUAAUCCCAUGAGACAAAUAUGAUCUCAACACCCAAAGAAAAGAAAAAGCAAAUUAAAGGCCAAUAUCAUUAAUAAACAUCGAGGCAAAAAAUACUGUAUAAAAUCUUAACAAAGAGACUACCACAAGAUAUUAAAAUUAUCAUUAACAAUGACCACAUUGAAUUUAUACCAGGAACGUAGGAAGGUUCAGUAUGAGGCAAAGUACAACAUAAAAGACAAUGUAAAUAACAAAAACAUUUUAAAAUCACACAAUUCUAUCAGAAGAUAGAGAAAGCCUUUGACAAAAUACAGAUCGCUAUUUAGUUAACACUAAAAACCAUAGAUAUAAAUGAAACUUUUACACAUAUUACCGCUAUCAAAAAUGAAGAACUAGCAUUAUUUAGAAGGAAGAAAUACUAGUAAUCUUUGCAGUAAGACUGGGUCAUGGAUGUCAGUUAUCAAUGAUAAAAUUUCUUAUACCUCUAGAAAUUAUAGCUAUAGCAAUAAGACAAGAAAAGGAAAUUGAAGGUAUAUGCAUAAACAAAGAAGCAAAAUUACCUAUUUGCAGAUGACAUGAUGGCUUACUUAAUCAGCAUCAAAGUAGAAUAUGAAAUGAAUCCACAAAAAUCAUCCACCUUUUGUAUAUUACUAACAGUUAAACCUAGCAAGACAUAGAAAAAGAAAUGCCACUUAAAAUAAUUAUAAAAUGUAUUAAAUAUCUUGGAGUUAACUUAUCAAGCCGGAGUUCAUAGGUUGCAUAAAUGUAGAUACCAAACACUCUUUCCAAAAAAUAAAAGCUUAAAUCAUUGGAGACACGGUCAUUAUUCAUGGUUGGGCUAUACCAAUGUAAAAUGAUACUAUCUAAACUUAGAGAUUUAGUGCCAUACUAAUCAAAGCACCAAGGAGUUAGUUCCUUUAUAGGACAAGAUAAAAUGAUAAUAAAGUUCAUGUAAAAGAGCUAAAGUCAAGAAUCUUAAGGAAAAUAAUGAUCUGUGAAUUGGUUUGACUUCUGAACUUUUACGCUAAAAAGAACUCACUCAACUGCACAUAUACUUUAAAAAUAUACCAAUAAGAAAAUCAAAAGGACAGAUCCCAUAUAUACCAAAAUAGCGAUAGCAGAACUUUUGGUAGUAGCUGAGACUUGGAAUUAGAACUUGGAAUUCAAAUUCAAACCUGAAAAGAGCACAGUGCAUGAAAGUAAUAGAAUAUUAUUAUAUGGUAAGAAAUGACAAAUAUGAAAAAUUCAGAGAAACUUGGGAAGUCUUAUAUCAACCGAUGAAGAGCAAAGGAAGCAGGACCAAUAGAACACAUACAAAAUGAUAGUAAUGUUGGCAUUCAGGUGGUCCGGGCUAAAGUGCUAGGCCUGAAUUAGAAAGACUAGUUGUAUAGCCUUAGACAAUUCAUUUAAUCACUGUCUGCCUCAACUUGCUCUUCUGUAAAACAGGGGUCAUGAUAGCAUACUACCCCCCUUGCUGAAAGGAUCAAAGGAUGCAAUAUUUGUAAAGCUCUUUGCAAACUUUAAAGCACAAUCUAAAUGCUAGCAAUGUGAAGGAAAACAACACCAAAAGACAUCAAUGCAGUGACCAAUCACAACUUCAGAUGAGUAAUGGUGAAACAUGCUUGCACUCCCUUGGCAGAAAGACACUGGACCAGGGGUUCAGGAUGAAGUAUACAUCCUCAGACACGGCCAAUAUAUUGCUCUACUUAGCUUUAACUGUACCUCUUUAUGACAAGGGAGGGUUUUCAUGAGGUGAGAGGGUCACUGAAAAGUGAUUGGCAGCUAGAUGAUACAAUGGAUAAAGCACUGCUGGAGUGAGAAAGACCCAAGUUCAAAUUUGGCCUUCUUAGCUGUGUGAUCACCAACAAGUCACUUAGCACAGUGUUAACCACAUAGUAAGCACUUGAUAAAUGCUAAUUAUAAUAAUUAUUAUCAUUAUAAAGUGGCAGUUAUAUUCUUAAUAAGCAUCAAUAUAACUAUUUUAAAAGUUUUUAAUAACCUUGAACUCCUCCCUGAAACAAAGGCCCAACUUUUUAAUAACAGUUUUCUACCUUCUUUUAACAUGGCUGUAAGUCAUGGAACAACACUAAAGUCUCUUAAGAUUUGAAAAUGGGAAGGCUGGAAAGCAAUUUGCCAGAAACUGGUGUAGAACAACACCCCACACAAUAAAUCAAGAUAAAAUCCAAAUGGGUACAUGAUUUAGAAAUAAAGGUAAUAUCAUAAGCAAAUCAUGGGAGCAAAGGAAAAAUUACAUGAUUUAUACAUAAGAGCAGAGUUUAUGAAAAACCAAGGAUCAUAGGCGGUAAAAUAGAUAAUUUUGAUAACAUGAAAUGAAAAAGCUUUUCCACAAACAAAAUCAAUGCAGCCAAAAUUAGAAGGAAAGCAGAAAACUGGGGUGGGGGGGAUUUUGUAGCAAAAAAAAAAAAUCAGAGACCUGAGGCAAAUUUAUAAAAAUAACAUUCCCAAAUUGUAAAAUUAUAUAUCUAUAAAAACAUUACCCAAUUGACAAAUGGUCAAAGGAUAUAAACAGGCAGUUUUCAAAAGAAAUGAAAACUAUCAAAAAUCAAAUGAAAACAAUGCUCUAAAUCACUACUAAUCAGAGAAAUGCAAAUUGAAAAAACUUUGAACUUUUUGUCUAGCAUCUUAGCUAGUGGCGCCAUAGGUUACCUGCAGUUCUACUAGAGCCACCCUUUCAAAUUCAGCCAGCUUUCUCAAGCAUGACAUUUCUGUUUCCAACAGCAAGGCCUGAUCCAUGGGUAAAGCUUGAACUUAUACUGCCAGUUCUUCUACCAGCAUGCUAAGGGCAUCGGUUACAUCAAUUUGGAUUAAAUUAUCUUUAUGAACUUGGCUUUGGUGAUUAGUCAUCAUUUUACUGGACUCUAAACAACUAUUUGACAAGCCUACCUAAAAACGGACUGUUGUGCAUACUAUGCUAAUUUGUUUUAAAAAAUGUUAAAGGUCACCCUGAGUUAUGAAUAAAAUUUUACUGUGAAUUUAUAAAAACAAUGCCUAUACCUGUAAGAGUAGCUAAUAUGAUAGAAAAGGAAAAUGACAAAUGUUGGAGGGAAUGUGGGGAAAUUGGGACACUAAUGCAUUGUUGGUGGAGUUGUGAAAUGGCCUAACAAUUCUGGAGAGCAAUUUGGAACUAUGCCCAAAGGGCUAUAAAACUAUACCUACCCUUAGACCCAGUAAUACUCCUACUAGGUCUGUAUAAAAAUAUGAUAAUAAGUUUAAAAUAACUAUUACCUGGGGGGGGUAAUGAAGAGGUUCUUGAUACAUAUAAAUAGGAGGAAUAAGCAUUUAUUAAGAAUCUAUGAAGUGCCAGGCACUGUGCUAAGUGCCUUUUUUAAAAUGACAAAUAUUAUCACAUUUGAUCCUCACCACAACCCUGGGAAGUAAGUAUUGUUAUGAACCCCAUUUUACAGUUGAGGAAAUUGACUAAGUGCCCUGCCUAGGAUCAUACAGCUACUGCCUGAGGCUAUAUUUGAAUUCAGGUCUUCCUCACUCCUUGCCCAAAGCCUGGUGAACUGUCCUUCAACCAACUGCCUCUCAAUAGGCUACCAUGCAUUACAAAUAGGGAAUUAUAAGAGCAAGAAUAAAAGAUGUUAUAUCCAAAAAAAUGUAUGAGUGAAAACAAAGAUGGGUUAAUCAUGUGGUGAGAACAAGAAAUCACUGAUGAAUUUGAUUACAUGAAAUUAAAAAGUUUUUGCGCAAACAAAACCAAUGCAGCCAAGAUUAGAAGUAAAGCAGGAGAUUGGAGGUGGUGAGAGGAAUGGACUUACAGCAAGCUUCUCUGAUAAAGAUCCUAUUUCUCAAAUAUAUAGGGAACUGGACCAAAUGAGCACUGGGGUUCUUCACUGGCACAAUACCUUCUAUCGUACAGGAUACACAAAUAUGAAUGUGCUGUGAUAUGGGUGUAUGUGUAUAAUUCAUGGAUUGAUGAGAUCAUAGAUAUAUUUGAAUGCUCAAGUAUAAGUGACUCUACAACACUUUCUACAACCUUUUUUUCUCUCUUCAAGUCUUUUACAGCAUCCUCUCCCUUCUCCUUCUCAGCAAGGGAUCUCAUUCAUGCUUGUGUUGAAACCAGUUGCUACAGGCUCUCAAGAAAUAGUUGUUAAAUGUUUAGGAAGAGCAUUUAUACCUCAGAAAUUGGCCAAGGCUACAAACCAGAACUGUAUUGGGUUUUUUUUUGUUUGUUUGUUUUGAGGUUUUUUGUUUUGGGGGUUUUUUUUGAGGGGGAUGGUUUUUUAGAGCUGUAUUGUUUUAUCGAAUGUUCAGACUUAAAGUGACAGAGAACAUGCCACUUAAGUAGAUUCCAUUUAAAAGUGUUUCCUGUGUUCUUUUUUCUUCUCUAGAAAGAAAUUAAACAUUUACCACUAUACCACAAACUUUACUUCACACUACACUGAGAAAACACUUAGCUAAACACUUAGCUAUUCUGAUGUUUAAAAAGAGAUGUUCCUAUCAGAAAUGAAAAACAACUUACAACAAAGAAGAAAUUAAAUAAAUUUUCAGAAAUUAUUUUGCCUAAUUAUAUGCAAACAAAAUUAAUAAGUAAGGAGAAAGAAGUAUUUAUAAAAAGUCACCACAGAGAUAAACAAAACAAGAAACAGAUUCUUUGAAUAACCUAAUGUCAUAAAAAAGAAAUUGAAGAAGCCAUAAACUUUCAAAGGAAAAAACCGAGGACUAGAAUAUUUUUAAAGGAAAUAUAGCAACCACUCAAGAACAAUUAAUUCUAAUAUUAUAUAAACUAUGAUAAUAAGGCACCCUUCUAAUAUCUACAACACAAAUAUAUUCUUGAUAACUAAACCACUGAAAGAUAGCUUUUUCUUUUUAAUUGUAGACCAAUAUCCCCAAUGAAGAACAGCUAGGUGGACACAGGAGAUAAGAGUGCUGGGGCGUGGAGUCAGGAAGACUCAUCUUCCCGAGUUCAAGUCCAGCCUCAUAAUUUACUAUCUGUGUGAAUCUGGGCAAGUUACUUCACGCUGUUUGCCUCAGUUUCCUCAUCUGUAAAAUGAGCAAGAGAUGGAAAGGGCAAACUACCCUACUGUCUUUGCCAAGAAAACCACAAAUCAGGGCAUGGAGAGUUGGAAAUAACUGAAAAACGAUUAAACAAUGACAAAUAUUCCCAUGAACACUGGCACAAAAAUUUAAAAUAAGAUAUUAAUAUGUAGCCUACAACAACAUAUUAGCUAGAUUAUGAGAAAUUCAGGGUCGGUUCAACAUAAUGACUAAACCAGGGCUUAAGGAUAUCACAUAAGUUAAAAUGGACACUUAAUUAUACUAAUUUAAAGUUUUUAAUGAUGUAAAAAUUAGAAGGGAAAAAAUAACUUGAGAAAAAAGUUCACAAGUUACUCUAGGAAAGGUCUUAUUUCCAACAUAAAGGGUGUUCCCAAGGUUUUAGUGCAGUUUUAAGAUGUCUCCAGCUCUCUUUGAGAGAUCUCUUUCUCUCUCUCUUCCCUCCCCCCUCAAUCUCUCUCUUCUUCCUAUUCUCACUGUGUGUGUGUUUCCCUCUCUAUCUCUCUGUGAGUGUCUGCGUCUGUCUCUCUCCAGGACAUUUCUUCCCCCUCCUCUCUUUUCUCUCUCAAUCUCUUUAUCUCUCUCUCUAUCCUACUUCCUUCUCUGGCUCUUCCUGUCUCUCCUCCACUUCCCUGUUUUACUAUCUGUUUCUUUGUCUCUGUGUCUUUUCCUCUCCAAUAUGUCUCUCUCCCCCUCCCUUUUCUCUCCAUAUCUCUUUCCCUCUGUCUAUUUCUCCUUCCACUUCAGUAUGUCUCUCUCUCCCCCUCUUUAUCUCUCUCUCUGUAUUAUGAUCUUUGUCUCUCUUUAUCU
ensembl:lncRNA